CUGGUCUUGACAUCCACAGAACUUUCCAGAGAUGGAUUGGUGCCUUCGGGAACUGUGAGACAGGUGCUGCAUGGCUGUCGUCAGCUCGUGUUGUGAAAUGUUGGGUUAAGUCCCGCAACGAGCGCAACCCUUAUCCUUUGUUGCCAGCGGUCCGGCCGGGAACUCAAAGGAGACUGCCAGUGAUAAACUGGAGGAAGGUGGGGAUGACGUCAAGUCAUCAUGGCCCUUACGACCAGGGCUACACACGUGCUACAAUGGCGCAUACAAAGAGAAGCGACCUCGCGAGAGCAAGCGGACCUCAUAAAGUGCGUCGUAGUCCGGAUUGGAGUCUGCAACUCGACUCCAUGAAGUCGGAAUCGCUAGUAAUCGUGGAUCAGAAUGCCACGGUGAAUACGUUCCC
rnacentral:rRNA from 1 species